GCAGGUGCUGCUGGAAUGUUGCUACUUAGAAAUGGAAAGUUCACAAUUGGAAAGCUGAAAUCAUCUCUUUUGUCGUAACGUUUUGUUUUCAACCGACCCUCAUUGUCAAUUUCUAGAUGUAAGUCAAGAUAUGAGGCCGACUUAACUGUAUCUGUAGUAUCCUUUAUCUCUAGCUCGAUUGGAUAGAUGCGUUCCACAUAGUCACCAAAU
rnacentral:lncRNA from 1 species